GCUGGAGGAGGGGAGGUGUGGGGCGACCCGGCUGGAUGGAGAGAAGGGAGAGGCCGAGCCCCAAGACCAGGGAGGAAGGAGGCCAGAGCAGUCCCUGGCAAGAGAAGAAUCUGGCAGGAAAGACCUGGAAAAUAAGGGGUUGGGGGGCGGGGAGCUCCUCGGAAGAUGGGAAAGGGGGACUCCUGCAGACCCCGGAGAGAUGGAGAGCCUGAGUGUGAACUCCAGGGACCGAGAUGAGAGCGCGAUGGCUCUUCACUGGUCUCUGAGCUGCUCGUACCGAGGGAAGGGGAGAGGCGAGGCGGGGAGGCGAGUUUCCUCAGUUAAAAGUGAAAGUGUUUGCCCUCAGUGACAGCUGAGGCUCGGGGAGGUCGGCGGCGACCUGGGCCCCUCUCUCUUCGCCGGUCCUCCCUCGGUCUCUCCUCUUUCUUUCUGCACUUUGUCCAAUGAAAGAAGGCGAGUUCGGGAGGUGAAAGUUCAGCAGAAGGACAAACCCCUGUUUGCAGGGAAACAGAAACCCCGCCAGCGAGGGGUUUUUCCUGGUAUCGCGGCAUCGGGAGAGAGUGCACGGCGGGGCGAGCUUCCCCCCUUCCCUGUCAGUCACUGCAGGAAUGCACGGUCGGGCCCACUGGGGGGAAGCGGCUGCUCCGGGAACUGCGUUCCUGCCACGGCUCCUCGUAGGAAAACACCCGGGGGCUGGCAUGUCAAUCAGUUGUUUAACACAAACUACCUGCUCGCCCACAGAUCAGUCACGUGCAAAAGCUUUCCCAAUGGUGCAAAGAUUCAUCACCCCGGAUGCUGCCAAACUCCCAAGCCAGCACGUGCAGGUUCUAGCUGGAUGGUUUACACCAGGCCAGUUCUUCAUCAAAAUGCCUCAGGAGCCAACCCUCUGAAUUCCUACAAAGUGCUUCCCGCAGGAGAGCGAGACUUGCUGUCCCUUUGGUCUUGACACUAGCACAGUUGUAGAUAACAAAUAUCCUGAAAAGGAUAUUAUACAUUCUUUUGGGUGGUGUACUUUUACAAAUACGGCUAUACAUUCAUUGACAGGAGAUUCAAAUCUCCGUGUCAAUGACAGGCUACCACUUACCACUUUUUAAAAUUGUAUCUGCUUUGCAAGUAAAAAAAAUAAAAUUAUAACCAAGCCAUUCACUGGUGCUGUAGAAUCAGGCACGAGGGGCUGCGCUCAGCUAGUUCCAGCACAGCAGCAUCCAUGCAUGAGGCUCCGGCGCCAGGCUCCAGUCUACCCAGACAAAACCAUCCACCCGAUCUUCUAGGCUAGAAUCUGGAUAGAUAAAACACAUUUUAGUGUUGCGUUUCCUAGCUUCCCAGAGCUCGGUGUUCCUGUUGUCUUUGUCGAGACAUUAACACAUGUUCCCCUGUGUUCUAGACCAUAGAGUGGGCUUUUAGAGAUGCACAGAUAAAUAAAACUCCUGCCAGGAGCACUGCAGCAGCCUACAGCUGUCAAUCAUAACAUCUAAUAUUUAUUGAACGCUUUCUAUGGCCUAGGCACUGAUCUAAAAGCUUUAUGUCAACUCGCUUAAAACUCUCCGCACCCCUUCAACAGCACUGGAAAUUCCACAUUCUGAAUUCACAUGGCAUUAUUCAAAAAAAUCUACAUAGUAGCCAUUCUAUUGGGAAAUUUUUGUUUUUAAUUUCUGUGAUGUUUCUGCCAAAUAUAACUUGUUUAUGAUCUAUUGCCUGGUUGUAGAGACUGUCUCAGGGGAAUAGCAAUUUAUUUAGACGUGACACAUCUAUUAAUUGUCGGUGAGGUAUCAUCCUGAUCUUGUUUUUCAGAUAAGCCACGUGGGUUGUUGUUGUUUUUUAAUCAUUAUUGCCAUACUAAAAAGAUUCUUAGAUUGCCACUGAUCUCAGUCUGCAUUUUAACUGCCUUAAAUUCUACAUUCAUUUGCAAGUGGAGGCCAGAGUCAUGUUGGCAACAAGUUUUUAGACAAAAGGAAAUCCUGGCUGUAAAUCCCAUAAUAUAUGGCACUCUGCUUCAUAUGGGAUGGUCUAAUGCGGAGACUUAUUAAGGAACAGCUAUAGCCCGCUGGGGCUCCCGUUCCAGGGAACUUACUGCAGCUUAACGUCUGGCUCAUUGUCGACACCGUCACGUUACAUUCGUAAGGAGCAGAUUUUAAUUUCUUUAUCAGUAAUCAACUGGAAGUUUCUUUUUGUUAAAUUACAGCAAGAAGGGUUUUCAAAUAAAGGGCAUGGGGGUAGGACGCCACCUUUUGGUGAUAAAAUAAAUAGAAAUCCUUUUUGGAAACAUGUUCCUGACAUGAUUUUAUUUUUAAUUACACCCAGGCAAUGGUGCUUGUCCCCGUUUCCUCGUAUUUUAAGGUACAGGGAAGAAAAAGAACAAUAUAAAUGGACAAUUAGCAGAUUACUGCUAACUGCAGCCAGGAUUUCCCCAGAAGUACCAGAAUGUGUCGGUGUCCUGCCGCACACCGCCAACUAGACAUCACACUGGAGCCUUAAUCUCCACGUACUGUGCCACGGAAUAUGUGCACGUUUGGGGAAGAGGACUUGGAGUGGAGACAGUUGCCACCUCCUUAGAUGCCUGAAGCUCAUGGAAGUUUAGAAUUGAGCAGAAAUCAGAACAACCUCGUUCAGUGUCUCUUAAAGCAGAGUUAGCACCUUCCCAAUUUUUUUGCGCUACCUAUAUGACGUCAUUUCUACAUAAUCCCCACACUGUACUCACUGGCGGGCAGGUGUGGUGUUGGUGUACCAUUUCCACUUCACAACAACCUACUUGGCAUUUUUCUUUUACCAUUUUCAGCGGGAAUAGGUGUCCACCUCCAUAAACAAGUGCAUUGAAACAAAGUUACUGAUUUCUCUUUGUGCGAGUUUAGGGAAAGGAAAGUAGAAAGUGCAUUAAAAGAGAUUGCCCAGGUACUGAAGGUCCUGGAGACUUUUACAGACGCAAACCUCUCUGAAGGUUUUUCUUCUCCCCCUGCACGCCCCCGGCUCUGGAACAAGCAGAAGGAUUCAAAGUGGUUGAAAAGGAUACAGUCCUCAGCAGGGGAGUCUCCCCUCGCUAAUGCCAGCCCUGUGCCCAGGUUGCACAGCAGUGUUAUCAGAUUGCAGGUGAGGCCCUGGCAUUUAAACCAUUCACCAGAGCCAAACGAUUGGUGAGUGACUGGACGAGAUGAGGACCCAGGAGUGCUGGCCUGGGGGAUUUCCAUCUCACUUUUUCCACAUUCGCAGAUGUGACCCAUCCUCAGACCUCAGGCAGCAUGCCUAGCUCCCCAGGAACAGCCAUCGAAACCGAGCCCACGCUCAAGAUCAAGUUCAACACCCUUCUCAGCCUCUUCAAUGUGGCAGACACCUGAGUGGGCAAACACAGGGCAGAGGGAGGGCUGCAGGGGCAGGUUUGCAAGUGUGGGUGGACCUUUCUCAAAAUGAAAGCCAAAACCUUUGAUUUCCCUCCGAGAAGGUGAAAAGUCAUCAUGAAAAUCACGUGUUUUACCCUAAGUGCCAGGAGGAGCCCGUCCUCCCUGUGCCCAUGCCCCUGUCUGUCCAGGCUGGAGGUCAGCAGGGGGUCUGCUGUUUUACCAUAUAUGAUACCAACAGGCACUGAGACCCAAUCACAUUUGCUAACUGUGUGGCUGGAAAAGUUAACCAGAGGAAGCUUGAUCGACCCCAGCUUUGCAAGUAUUUUCCUUAAAAACAAACUUCACAGGCUCAGAUUUAAAUCUGGAGAUGUAGUGUCCUUUGUGAUAUCCUAACCAGACAGGGGCUUUAGCUACCAAGACCGCAUUUCCUGCCUUGUUUUAUUUUGUUCCCUUAAAGAAUGCAGUUGUAUACACAGAAGUAAAUAUGGCCUGCCAACAGCUUUACAUUGUUCUAAAUUGGUCCUUGUGACAAGAGGUUGCCAAGAAAUCUACUAUACAGCAGUUGGCCCCAGGGGACCAGAUGGAUUGAAGUCCCUCUGCAUGACAAUGCACAAGAAAGGACUUGGCCAGUUACCUUCAUGCCAAAGAGCUGUCCCUGCGCCCUGAGCCCUGAGCACCCCAUGAAAAAUGUUGGUACCUCAAAGACAUACGAAGGGAGUAUGGGAGGUGCAACCGGCGGCCAGUGCUAGAUCCCUCUUGCCCCUAGCCUUGUUGUGCAAAGUAUGAUGUGCUGGCUUGUCACACACCUGGGGGCAUCUUGAGAUGCAGAAUCUCAGCCCCACCCGAGGCCUACUGAAUCAAAAUCUGCAUUUUUUGCAACAGCAUCCGCUGAGCCUCCCCCAGGCUGAGAUGAAGUACUAUGACCUGCCAUAUCUGGGUCCUCUUUACAGCUUGGCACCAUUUGACAGAAGUUCCCAUGAGCCGUCUGUCAUACCUGAUUCUCCAAACGGGCAUCUUUUAUAAACAUGGGUUAGUUUCUUCUUUUUUAUCCACUUACAAAGUUAAGCCAUUAAAUCACCCAUGUAAAGCAUGAUUAAUUCCUUUGACAUUAAUAACAGGGUGACUUCUCUCUCCUGUUACCCCAAAGAGACUGCUAAUUGCACUGCAAUUGUUUACCUUUGUAUUGUUUUAUGAGAACUCAGGGAAAGAUGGAAGAUCUUCCCCACCAGGCCAGGAGCAAAGGCCAGACAGGUUUUGGAAAGCCUGAGCACAUGCUAUGACUACACCUUGUUAGUAGAAGGGCUUUGCUUUCUUUGUUUUGUUUUCUUUUUUAUGGAAGGAAUGACGCCUCCAUAAUUAUAGGUGUUGCUGUUUAAAUCUCAGAAUGUUUUCCAAACCGUGGAAGGGCCACACCUCCAGCAGCAGCCCGUGAGCCAUCCCGGUUGGACUCUCUCUCUCCAGCUCGAUGAACACUUUAUAAAGACCCAUCGGAGGGAGCCAGGAUUUCCAUGGGCUAGAGGGACAGCAAGGGCUGCUUCCUGCCGGGACAUGAAGGACCCUCAGGUACUCUACAGCCCUGGUGAGGUUCUCAGAGAGACCGACAGUUGGUUCGUUUCCCUCACGAGACAACAGGUUCCUUUUGUAACCCCCCAAAAAAUAAUUAAAACCAUUGUUUUAA